CAACUGUCAAAUCUGAGAAUGGGGAAGACGAGAUGAGUCCAGCUCCAGCCAGCAUCUGGAUAUAACAACAUGACAGACCUGGUGUUAUUACAACCAAGAUGAAUCCCAGUCAAACUCAAGAAGCAUGAAAAAGACUACUGACAGCUGUCAUUGUUUUUAGUUCAACAACUUGGGAGAGGUUAACAAAAGUCUCUGAGAUGCAACUCCAAAUCUUCAAAAGAGAAAUACCAAAGUGUUCGUAUUUUGGCUUACUUUCAUGCCAUAAAUAAAUUCAUUACUAGACACCACUCCUGACACACGAAUGCACUGUUGAGUAAUGAAUAAUGUAAUUGCUAAGUUUAAAAGUACUGCUCAGAACUUAUUUAGCUAAAAUAUGAGCUCUGACUUUUUUUGGAUUGCUAAAGUCUUCUUAGAGAAUGUAAAUGUGGGCCUGACAAGAAGCAAGAAAUGCAAGAUCUAAGUUUCAGUAUGUAGGGAAUAAAGGCAUUGUUAUGCAACUACCAGACUAUGCCCAGUGUGGUAGGUAGCAGUCCUAUUCCUAUUAUCCAAAGCCAUGCUUUGCCUCAAAGGCCAAGGAUCCUGUAGUUUAUAUUUGGGACAUG